GCCAGCGUGGUGUAGUGGUUUGAGCACUGGACUAUGACUCUGGAGAUCAAGGUUCGAAUCCUGGCUUGGCC